rnacentral:piRNA from 1 species
UUUAGAUAGUAUUCUACAGUC